rnacentral:rRNA from 1 species
AGGAAGAGAAAGAAAAAAUGAUUCCCUGAGUAGCGGCGAGCGAAACGGGAAGAGCCCAAACCAACAAGCUUGCUUGUUGGGGUUGUAGGACACUCUAUACGGAGUUACAAAAGAACAUGUUAGACGAAUCAUCUGGARAGAUGAAUCAVAGAAGGUAAUAAUCCUGUAGUCGAAAACAUAUUCUCUCUUGAGUGGAUCCUGAGUACGACGGAGCACGUGAAAUUCCGUCGGAAUCUGGGAGGACCAUCUCCUAAGGCUAAAUACUCUC